CUCCUUAUGGCAUUGCCCUGUAAGUUUGAAACGAUUGGGUCUGAUGGGAGCUCAGGCUUGCACAAGGCUCCAGUGGACAGCACGUUGAGGAAGGUCCACCCUCACACUACUUUAUACCUGGGCCUGGGUCUAUGAUGAAUAUAUCAGGUCCAGACUAGGUUGGAAGUGGCCCAACCGAAGCCCAGCCCAUCUCACAUGAAAGUUAUG
rnacentral:lncRNA from 1 species